CAGUUGCACACCAUUUUACGUAUAAGCAACUAUCUCUCCCUUUCAACUCUUUCAUCUUGAGUCCAUUUAUGUCUAUAUAUACCUGCAAAAUCUGUUUCAAGAACCAUCAAACCAAAACUCAAGAAACAUUUUGCAUAGCUCUCUCUCUCUCUCUUCAAUUAGUCCUUUAGUGUUACUAAAAUUAUAUACUCCGAUGGCCAAAGACAGCUCCAAGAAAUCAAUCCAAG
rnacentral:misc_RNA from 1 species